CAAGUUCUUAUAGGAGCAUAUGCUUAUUAGCUUAGGACUUCUCCCUCUUCUACUUUUAGAAGUAGUCAAUCAGCUAAAUAUACCAUCCUAUCUCAUACAUCUAAAGGAUAACAUGUAUUUAUAGUUUUCCUAUACAUGUCGAUGUCACCUUAGGUUACAUAUUGUCAUUUCAUUCUCCAUUGGUAAGCUUUCUGAAUGGCAAUUAAACAUAUUUAUAAAAGUCAACUCAUUUCUUGAUUGCUUUAUAUAUUUUAAUUUUGUGAUUGAAUAUUAUAAUGAGUUGCAUAGAUAUUUUGCAUUUCCAUUCUUUUUUACGGACUUCAUCUUUCUUUUAGAUUACUUUCUUUGUAAUCUAAAUGAAGGAUCAAAGCCUUAGUCUGAUAAUGAUACUAAUUGGUAGCUCUACUAGCAUGGUGCUAGUUAAUGCAUGAUUUUGGUUGGUACCAAGCAUGGUAUGCAAUUUCGAAUGGUACCGCCCGGUACGGGCGGUAUGUACUGGUCUGAUGGCAUACCGGUACGCGGACCGCCCGCUACCGGACGGACCGUGCUUCAGUUCUACAGUAAUACACUGUAGCAGUUCUACAGUGCUACAGUGCUACAAUAAGAGGUAAUCGCUCGGUAAGCCCUAGUGUACCAUUUGGUAUGCCCUGGUGUACCGCUCGGCAUGCUGGUACCGUAUCGUACCGAGUCAACCUCGAAAUACCGGUACGGUACGGUAUUGCAUACCUUGGUACCAAGGACCAUUGUUUUAUGCCGACGAGUGGUAUAGGUCCUGGGUCGGACCGAAAUGUAUCGGUCAAUGUUGGCAUACCAUAUGUUGGUAUGUUGCUAUCGGUUUUUGGGAAAAGGGAAGAAAAUGGUCAAAAAAAAAAAAAGACCAUUUUAGGGUUUUCAUUCCUAAUUUAAUGGUAAUAUUUAUUGUAUUUAAAUAAGAAUUGAGUGUAUAUGAGGCAUAGAUGAAUAUAAAUUCUAGGCUCUAAGGAUGAGCAAAUGAAUUAUCUUUCUAAUAACUCCUAAUUGGUCCCAAAUUAUAUAUAAUGACCCUUAAUUGGGCCUAAACUAAUCAAAAUGAUAUUAGGUAAUUCUAAUUUGACUUUAAUUAGACUUUUGUUGCUUCUUUUAUCCAAAUCAAUAACUUGAUUACCAUUUACCACUAAUCAGUAAUCGCCGAUUAGGAACUUUAAUCAUAAGUGAGAGUGUGAGAAAGAGUGAGGCUGAGAGUCAGGAUGAGAGUAAGUGACCAGGGGAAAGGGAGGGGGAUCUAGGCCCCAAAAGAGGCUCCGACAAUAAAUUUGAGCAUUGGGUUCAAAAUCGACCCAAUUUACAUUGGUAUCGAUCAAAUUCCGAUCGAUAUCGAUGUGUAUCAGCCGAUACAACAGUUUCGACUAUAUUGGCCAAUACAUCACUUGUACCAGUCGAUGCUUGACCUAUCCCCUGCAUACUACCUGAAAUGGGCUAGUUCACAUAAUAGUCAAUUGAUGGACCGAUAUGUACAACCCAUUUUGUACCAUUUCGGGAGGUACGUCAAUCCUUGGUUGAUGCUACUUUGGAUCAUAGAGAAAGAGAGAGAAGAGGGGAGGUAGAGGAUGUGGAGGCGAUGCAUGCUAAUGAUGCAGCCAAGGAGGAUGAGGAGGUGGCAUAGGAGGAGGAGAGGAGUUGGCCAACGUAGAGGGGAUGGUGAUCUGGAGGAGGAGAAAUAAGAGGGGAGAAAAAGAAGAAUGAAAAAAUGAGAAGUUGAUCAGCUAUUGACAACAAUAUAUUAAAGAGAACCAAAAAACAUGUGAGACAGCCGUCACAUUUGAGGUAGCAAUGCAUCUAUCAGGAGACAGCUAUCAUGUCUCACAUAUAAAGCAAAAAUAGGGUUGGCUACUUGUACCAGACAACAGGUUUAUCACUCUAUAGCUUGGUACCAGUCUGUUUAUCAUCUGAUAAACUUAGUAUAAUGAACUUACUGGGUGGUAAGCUCAGUUUUAUAUUGAACAAGGUGAAAUUGCCUGAUUUGCAUACUGGUUGGGCAUCAAACCAUAAAUACCAGACACAUCAUCCACUACAUUCUGAAGUGUGAACUAUUGAGAGAAUUAGUUAAACAUAUCAAUGCAUUUAGCUCAUUACAUGUGAGUUCUACACACCAG
rnacentral:lncRNA from 1 species